rnacentral:rRNA from 1 species
CCUACGGGAGGCAGCAGUGGGGAAUAUUGGACAAUGGGCGAAAGCCUGAUCCAGCCAUGCCGCGUGUGUGAAGAAGGCCUUCGGGUUGUAAAGCACUUUCAGUGGGGAAGAAAGCCUUGGGGCUAAUACCCUCGAGGAAGGACAUCACCCACAGAAGAAGCACCGGCUAACUCCGUGCCAGCAGCCGCGGUAAUACGGAGGGUGCGAGCGUUAAUCGGAAUUACUGGGCGUAAAGCGCGCGUAGGCGGUCUGAUAAGCCGGUUGGGAAAGCCCCGGGCUCAACCUGGGAACGGCAUCCGGAACUGUCAGGCUAGAGUGCAGGAGAGGAAGGUAGAAUUCCCGGUGUAGCAGUGAAAUGCGUAGAGAUCGGGAGGAAUACCAGUGGCGAAGGCGGCCUUCUGGACUGACACUGACGCUGAGGUGCGAAAGCGUGGGUAGCAAACAGGAUUAGAUACCCCAGUAGUC